UUUUUAAUAUUAUUUUUUUUUUUUUUAAUAAUUAGUAAAUUUUUAUAGUUUAAUUUUUAAAAAAAUUUACCAGUUUCUGCGGUGUAUAGAUUUUGAUUUUAAUAUUUUUUAUAUUUACAUAAAUUUUUUAUUUUAUAAAUUAAAUAAAAAUUCAACAAAAUUUCUUAUAAAUUUCACUUUAUUUUUAUAACUUUUUUUACAUUAUUUUUUAUAAUUUAAUUAAUAUUUAAUAUAUUUUGUUGAAGUUAUUUUAUUUUUAUUAUAUUUUAUAAAUUUUAUUUUUUGUUUUAAAUUAUAAUAGUCCUAUACAUAAUUUAUUUGUUAAGUAGUAUUAAGGUAUAUUAAAUUUUUUAAAUUUAAUAUUAUUA
rnacentral:rRNA from 1 species